rnacentral:rRNA from 1 species
GACAUAGGGCCCGAGCGUUAGGCGGAAUCACUGGGCUUAAAGCGUGUGUAGGCGGAUGCCUAAGUACCUUGUGAAAUCCCACGGCUCACCCGUGGAACUGCUUGGUAUACUGGGUGUCUUGAGCCACUUAGGGGCUACCGGAACAAAUGGUGGAGCGGUGAAAUGCGUAGAUAUCAUUUGGAACGCCAAUGGUGAAAACAGGUAGCUGGGAGUGUGCUGACGCUGAGACACGAAAGCCAGGGGAGCAAACGGG